GAUGAACGCUGGCGGCGUGCCUAAUACAUGCAAGUCGAGCGAACAGACGAGGUGCUUGCUCCUCUGACGUUAGCGGCGUACGGGUGAGUAACACUUGGAUAACCUACCUAUAAGACUGGGAUAACUUCGGGAAACCGGAUCUAAUACCGGAUUAUAUAUUGAACCGCAUGGUUCAAUAGUGAAAGACUGUUUUGCUGUCACUUUUAGAUGGGUCCGCGCCGCAUUAGCUAGUUUGUAAGGUAACGGCUUAACAAGGCAACGAUGCGUAGCCGACCUGAGAGGGUGAUCGGACACACUGGAACUGAGACACGGUCGAGACUCCGAAGGGAGGCAGCAGUAGGGAAUCUUACGCAAUGGGCGAAAGAGUGAUGGAGCAAAGCCGCGUGAGUGAUGAAGGUCUUCGGAUCGUAAAACUCUGUUAUUAGGGAAGAACAAAUGUGUAAGUAACUAUGAACGUCUUGACGGUACCUAAUCAGAAAGCCACGGCUAACUACGUG
rnacentral:rRNA from 1 species